UACGAAGGGGGCUAGCGUUGUUCGGAAUUACUGGGCGUAAAGCGUAUGUAGGCGGAUCUUUAAGUCAGGGGUGAAAUCCCGAGGCUCAACCUCGGAACUGCCUUUGAUACUGGGGAUCUUGAGUCCGGGAGAGGUUAGUGGAACUGCGAGUGUAGAGGUGAAAUUCGUAGAUAUUCGCAAGAACACCAGUGGCGAAGGCGGCUCACUGGCCCGGUACUGACGCUGAGGUGCGAAAGCGUGGGGAGCAAACAGG
rnacentral:rRNA from 1 species